rnacentral:rRNA from 1 species
UACGUAGGGGGCAGGCGUUGUCCGGAAUCAUUGGGCGUAAAGCGCGCGUAGGCGGCCCGGUAAGUCCGUUGUGAAAGUCAAAGGCUCAACCUUUGAACGCCGAUGGAUACUGCCGGGCUAGAGUCCGGAAGAGGCGAGUGGAAUUCCUGGUGUAGCGGUGGAAUGCGCAGAUAUCAGGAGGAACACCAAUAGCGAAGGCAGCUCGCUGGGACGGUACUGACGCUGAGGCGCGAAAGCGUGGGGAGCGAACAGG